CCUACGGGAGGCAGCAGUGAGGAAUAUUGGUCAAUGGGCGAGAGCCUGAACCAGCCAAGUCGCGUGAGGGAGUACUGCCCUAUGGGUUGUAAACCUCUUUUGUCGGGGAGCAAAAGCCGGACGUGUCCGGCUGUGAGAGUACCCGAAGAAAAAGCAUCGGCUACCUCCGGGCCAGCAGCCGCGGUAAUACGGGGGAUGCGAGCGUUAUCCGGAUUUAUUGGGUUUAAAGGGUGCGCAGGCGGAUUUUUAAGUCAGCGGUAAAAUCGUGGGGCUCAACCCCAUCCAGCCGUUGAAACUGGGGAUCUAGAGUGUGCGAGAGGUAUGCGGAAUGCGUGGUGUAGCGGUGAAAUGCAUAGAUAUCACGCAGAACCCCGAUUGCGAAGGCAGCAUACCGGUGCACAACUGACGCUCAGGCACGAAAGCGUGGGUAUCGAACAGGAUUAGAUACCCGAGUAGUC
rnacentral:rRNA from 1 species